AAAUUAUUCUAUGCAGUCAUGAUCCCCAACUAUGAAAAUCUGAAUGCCUUCAACGAACUUUAUUAAGCGCUUAUAUUUCCAUCUACACACAUCACAUUUUCAAUAUGCAUAAAGAAAUUUAAUCAAUUACUUAAGUCAAAACUUUGUUCCUGAUUUUCCCUGUACAAAAAUAGGAUUGCUGUUUGGGCACCUGGGUGGCUCAGUGGGUUAAA